UACGUAGGGUGCAAGCGUUAAUCGGAAUUACUGGGCGUAAAGCGUGCGCAGGCGGUUGUGCAAGACAGAUGUGAAAUCCCCGGGCUUAACCUGGGAAUGGCGAUGGAGACUGCAAGGCUAGAGUUUGGCAGAGGGGGGGUAGAAUUCCACGUGUAGCAGUGAAAUGCGUAGAGAUGUGGAGGAACACCGAUGGCGAAGGCAGCCCCCUGGGUCAAGACUGACGCUCAUGCACGAAAGCGUGGGGAGCAAACAGG
rnacentral:rRNA from 1 species